GCGGCUAUCGUAUAAUGGUUAUUAUGGAACCUUGCCAAGGUUCAGAUACGGAUUCGAUUUCCGUUAGCCGCUCCA
rnacentral:tRNA from 4 species